UGAACGCUAGCGAUAGGCUUAACACAUGCAAGUCGAGGGGCAGCAUGGUCUUAGCUUGCUAAGACUGAUGGCGACCGGCGCACGGGUGCGUAACGCGUAUGCAACUUGCCUCACAGAGGGGGAUAACCCGUCGAAAGACGGACUAAUACCGCGUACACUCCAUCUUGGGCAUCCAAGGUAGAGGAAAUGAAAUUCGCUGUGAGAUAGGCAUGCGUCCCAUUAGCUAGUUGGUGAGGUAACGGCUCACCAAGGCGACGAUGGGUAGGGGAACUGAGAGGUUGAACCCCCACACUGGUACUGAGACACGGACCAGACUCCUACGGGAGGCAGCAGUGAGGAAUAUAGGUCAAUGGGCGAGAGCCUGAACCAGCCAAGUCGCGUGAAGGAUGACUGUCUUAUGGAUUGUAAACUUCUUUUAUACGGGAAUAACAAGAGUCACGUGUGACUCCCUGCAUGUACCGUAUGAAUAAGCAUCGGCUAACUCCG
rnacentral:rRNA from 1 species